AGGUAGGGUGGCCGAGUAGGCGGCGAGUUGUAGCCUCGUGUACGGGAACUGUGCCCCCCAACCAA
rnacentral:tRNA from 1 species